GCACUUUCGAGUGAAUUUCAUUAGCAGGGUCAGUGAAGUUUUUUGUAAAGGACGUCUACAGCUGUGAAAUGCUACGAACUUGUCCCGACAAGUGCUCUACUUUAAAAAAUGCUAUUGUAUUUUUUAUUUGUUUUUCCACACUUAUAUGUGCAAUAAGGAAACAGUUCGGAGUAUCCUGAAUAUUGGGAAUCGGGGAGAUUGAUUCAAGCUUCCCCAAAAAGAAUGAGAUUGUGACCGCAACAACUCCUAUUGCACAGCAUAUUUGCAGUAAGCGCACUAGCAAUGAAAGAAUUGGCUGAAACUUUAUUUUGUACAGCUGCCAUUCCCCAUUUUGUCUUGAGCUCUGCUGCGUCCAUUCUGUUAUCCACUCGAAGAGCUACGAUUUGGGAAGUGUUGGAAAGCACAAGUCCUCUGCACUAUCGUUUGAGCAAACAAGAUAAGGGUGACGCAGGUGCAGAAGGGAAGAUAAUGAAAGCAUGCACCUCGUUUCAUGUCGUCUCUAUUGAGUUUGUCACUGUAGCAUUUGCGAGAAGCCGGUUAUGCCAGUAAUCCUUAUAAAAGCAGCAUAUUUCAGACAUCGGUGAAUUCGUUAUCCCUGAUUUCACACCGUCAGGCUACAAAACUAGCGCAGCUGUUUCGUCUGAUGAACAUCGUAUGCAUGAAAAACCCAAUGGCAGCAAUGCGACAAAAGAAAUUGGAAUGUUAUGGAGUCUCAAUGGAAAGUGAUAAAAUAUCUGAACCAAAGAUGACUGUUUUGUAUUCACUUUGACAAUAAAGCUUUUCUUUCUUCGCCGAGAGGGCAUCGAGAGACUGUG